rnacentral:misc_RNA from 1 species
GAUGAAGAACGCAGCGAAAUGCGAUAAGUAAUGUGAAUUGCAGAAUUCAGUGAAUCAUCGAAUCUUUGAACGCACAUUGCGCCCGCCAGUAUUCUGGCGGGCAUGCCUGUCUGAGCGUCAUUUCAACCCUCAAGCAAGUUCUGCUUGGUGUUGGGGAUCGGCCGUUAAACGCCGCCCCCGAAAUCUAUUGGCGAUCUCGCUGUAGCUUCCUAUGCGUAGUAGUAACAUCUCGCAUCUGGAGAGCGGCGCGGUCAUGCCGUAAAACACCCAACUUCUCAGGUUGACCUCAGAUCAGGUAGGAAUACCCGCUGAACUUAAGCAUAUCAAUAAGCGGAGGA